rnacentral:misc_RNA from 1 species
GGCAAAAUGACUAGUUAAUUUUGAACCUAACACAAAACUAGCAAAAUAACAAGAGAAACUGUUGACAGAAAAAUACAUACACAAAGGCUAUUCUAAGCUAAAACACAAAAAGAGAAGGAUGGAAGAAAUUGGGGAAGAUGGGCACUGUUAAUGAAAAUGCUGCAGGUGAGUGGCCCUAACACGUUAGUACCGGUCUACAUCAUGGAGGGUGGUGAGAGAGAGAGGAGCUUCAGACCUCCGUGUUAGCCAGCACGUGCGAUGCAUCACUGGAGCUGCUGGAAUUGAAGCCCCCAAGUUCUGCUUUUAAAUUCUCCAAUUUCCUUUCUUCUUCAACUCCAGCUGAGAAAUGGUGACUAGGGUAGGGUCGUGCGAUGGCUGGAGAAGGCAAGGAAGUGAUUAUGACAUCCAGUCAGUUUUGGAAAUGGUGGGAAUAACAAGGGACAGCUGCAGGGAUUCUUCUCCUCUCACUUGAUUUUUGCAACUUUGAGUGAAAUUGGAGUAACAAAAGUGCAAUCAAGGGUUUGGGUGUUUGUUUUGGGUCAGGAUUGGCAGGAAUUUGACCAAAAGGGAUGGAUUUUUGCUGCAACAAUCUCUCCCUCUUUUCUUCCCAAGAAAAGCGCACAACUUCACCCAUGAACUAUAAGCCAAGACUCAGUUAAGCAACUACACAUUUUUUAGAUCAAAUAAACCAUUGAACUUCUGUUAUAGCUAAAUUUAGCCAUUUUUAAGGCUUUUCGUUUGUUUUCUGUUUAUCAGAGUUUAUGGAACCCACAACAAUAACAAGAAUUUUAAUAAUAAAAUAAAUUUUCAAAUAAUUAGAAAUUAAGAACUAA